rnacentral:misc_RNA from 1 species
ACCUUUCCAUCGCAGAACCUUCCCGUCGGAAUUCCUCCUUUGAAAUCGAUCCCAUAUGGAGGGAAGUUGCACUUGACUAUCGUUUGGAGAUUGUUGUUAUUACCUGUAUCAACUAUGGAAUCCCCAAAUACCAAAAUUGCCGGAACUGUUGUGUUAGGCGGUAGCUUUACCAAAGCUUUUGCAGUCCAUACAUGAACAUAUAUCAUAAGAAACACCAGUAUUGGAGUGGAAGAAGAAGAAGAAGAAGGUCUCCACGAAAGAAACUUCAUCGUUUUGGAAAUAUAUAUUCGCAAAACCUCCAAGCCUGGCUCCAACAGAUGAUUCAUUUCAAUGGAAAAAGAAAUGAUGUCCCGGUGGAAA